rnacentral:rRNA from 1 species
GAUGAACGCUGGCGGCGUGCCUAAUACAUGCAAGUCGAGCGAACGGACGAGAAGCUUGCUUCUCUGAUGUUAGCGGCGGACGGGUGAGUAACACGUGGAUAACCUACCUAUAAGACUGGGAUAACUUCGGGAAACCGUAGCUAAUACCGGAUAAUAUUUUGAACCGCAUGGUUCAAAAGUGAAAGACGGUCUUGCUGUCACUUAUAGAUGGAUCCGCGCUGCAUUAGCUAGUUGGUAAGGUAACGGCUUACCAAGGCAACGAUGCAUAGCCGACCUGAGAGGGUGAUCGGCCACACUGGAACUGAGACACGGUCCAGACUCCUACGGGAGGCAGCAGUAGGGAAUCUUCCGCAAUGGGCGAAAGCCUGACGGAGCAACGCCGCGUGAGUGAUGAAGGUCUUCGGAUCUUAAAACUCUGUUAUUAGGGAAGAACAUAUGUGUAAGUAACUGUGCACAUCUUGACGGUACCUAAUCAGAAAGCCACGGCUAGCUACGUG